UUUUUGGAUAAGGUACGAGAAUUGAAGAGUAAAGUGGUUGACCAGUUUCAGUGUUGAGUCAGGGUUUACCACUGAAGACAAGAGACGCAUGUAAGUUAUGUUGUUGAUGCAGCUGGUUGUGACAAUUACACUUCGCUUUAAGUGGACUCCAUGACUUGUUAAUCAAACGUUCUUUAAACGGAAUUCCCCUGCUGGUUCUGCAUAAUAGGACAGACAAAUCUGGGGCUUUAUCUGAGCAAAUCCUGACAGAACAGAUGUUCUAAAUUGUACUGAAAGAUAAUUGCUAGUGCUAAUAUAUAAAAAAUAGGGGCAUUCCGAGAAUCGAACUCGGGACCUCUUGCACCCAAAGCAAGAAUCAUACCACUAGACCAAAUGCCCAAGCUGAGAUGAAAGAGGAUAGGGAACUGAAAUCCAUCAAAGAUAGAGAGAAGUUUGUUGCUUCAUGAUCUCAUUUGAAAACUUCACUAACAUUGAUGAAGCUGUUGACUGGCUAGUAAAACAUUCUAAAGUAAAGAAUGGAAGCUCAAUUUCUGCCCUGUGAAUCUGUUUGUAUGUUGUAUUGGAAACCGAUACCAAGGAGGCUGACAUGUCUUCUCUGUUGGUUCACAUCUUAGCAUUCUAAAUUAUACUGAAAGAUAAUUGCUAAUGCUACAUGUGUAAUGCUCAAACAUAUUUUUAAGAUUGAUGUUUGUGGGGCCAGGUAUGUUUUUCUGCUGUGUCAAUGAAAAUACUCUUAUAAUUAUAAUUACAUUGGUAGAUAUAAAAAUAAAAGGGGCAUUCCGAGAAUUGAACUCGGGACCUCUUGCACCCAAAGCAAGAAUCAUACCACUAGACCAAAUGCCCUGUUAUGGAAACUCUAUUGUGUAAAAUGAGCUUGGUUUCGAUAAUUUAUUUUAGGAAAGAUUCUAAGUCAUACAUUACAUUGCUUAUUGUAUUAACUUAUUUUUCUUAUGUUCAUUAAAUUUCAUUACUAAAUUUCGUCACAAAACUUCAUUGCAUGUCAGGUACCUCAUAGCUGUUAUUAUUAUGAUCUUUUGUUUUGUUACCUUAUGAACGGCUCCUAAGUAAUUUGAUCUAUUCUGUAAGCACCUGCUAUUAUAGUGUCAUACUUUAAUUUCAACGAAGAUAGAGAAGUUUCAUGAUCUCAUGUAAAAACUCAGCCAACAUUGAGAGUUGUUGUCUGGCUUGUAAAACAUUCUAAAGCAAAGAACGGAAGCUCAAGUUCUGCCCUGCGAAUCUGUUUGUAUGUUGUAUUGCAAACCGAUACGAAGCUGGCUUACGUGCCUUCUCUUGUCGGUGUGAUACUAAUGUUCACGUCCAAGUGUUCUGAAUUAUACUGUAAGAUAAUUGCUAAUGCUACAUGAGUAAUGUUCAACCCUUUUUCUUAAGAUUGAUGUUUUUAGGGCCAGGUUUGAUUUUGUGCUGUGUCAAUGAAAAACAUUUAUAAUAAGAAAUACAUAGAUAAAUAAAGAAAAAAUAGGGGCAUUCCGAGAAUCGAACUCGGGACCUCUUGCACCCAAAGCAAGAAUCAUACCACUAGACCAAAUGCCCUAGCUGAGAUGACAAAGGUUAAGUAAAAUAUAUGUCCAGCUUUCUAUUAAAAUAUGCAUAUCACAUGGCCUGAAGUUGUAUAGUAAGAUUACAUGAAAAUGACUAAAUUUGCUUACCUGAGAAUAGCCACCUGUCAGUUGUUCCUCAACCAUGCCAACAGAUACAGCUGGUGUUAAGUCCAUUCAUGAUAAUGGACUGCUGGAUGAAACUACCAAUAGUCAUACCUGUCCCCGAAGGAUAGCUCAAGUGGUAAGAGCUAGGGACAUAAGGGUUGGGUGGGGUGAAGGGUGAAGGGUCCCGGGUUCGAACCCGGAGGAGGGAUUAAUUUACUAACAUUUCUAACAACUAACAUUUGCCUAUCAAAAAACAAACCAAUAGUCAUACCUUAAGCUAACAUGUGUUUCUAGGGAAGUUAUCAAGUUGGUAGUUGGUACACUUAUCUACCAGAUCUGGUUUUAUAUUUAAAAGUCAAACUAUGACUGUCAACACAUUCAGAAUUAACAUGUUUUUCAGCCAAAACUAUUCAUGUCUCACAUGUAGCUUCUGGUGCUUAUUGCUAUUUAACUCAACCAGUCAACAAGUCAAACUUGUCAGCUUCCAGAUCUUAAAAAAAAAACUAAUAAAAUAAAAUAAAAUAUGAUUCUCCUUGGUACUUAAUAAGAAAUUAACAAGUCCAGCUGAUCUGCUUCUAGAUCAUCAAAACAAGAAAACAAGGGGCAUUCCGAGAAUCGAACUCGGGACCUCUCGCACCCAAAGCGAGAAUCAUACCACUAGACCAAAUGCCCUGUUAUGAAAAUUGUAUUGUUUAAAAUGAAUUUGGUUUCGAGAAAUGAUUUUAGGGAAGGUUCUAAGUCAUAACAUAGCCUCUUAUAUUAGCUUAUGUCUCUUAUGUUCACAAAAUUUCAUUACUGAAAUGAUAGCACUGACAUUCAACUUUACACUUGUUUUUUUGCUGUUUAUUGUUAACUUCAUUUUAGAAUAUCUAUAUGGUGAAGUAUCUCCAAGUAUGAUUAUCAUCAUCUUUUUAUGGUGGAACUCGCAGUUGUGUUGUUGGUGCAGCUGAUUAUCACAAUUUACCUGUCACUAGAAGUGACCUCCAUGACUUGUUAAGCAAACCUUCUUUAAAUGGAAUUCCCCUGCUGGUUCCUGGUAAUAAGAUUGAUAACCCUGGGGCUCUGUCUGAGCAAGACCUGACAGAACAGAUUAUGUAGUGUGUCUAGAUGUAUAAGAUGGUGAGAUGAUCCUAACCAAGCUGCGUAUGAAGCUUGACUAAAGUGAAGUUCAGUUAACUAUUGUUGCAACGUAGAAAUUACAAAGCAGUUCAUAUUCCAUAACUCAUAGCCACUAAGUGAUUCUGUCUGCUCCUGCUAAUUGUAAUUUGGUACCUUGAUUUCUACAAUUUAGCUUUUCAGAGUAUACUUGUACUUUUUUUGCAAGGUAACUGAAAUCCAUCACUGAUAGAGGGAUAGAGACCAAGUUGUUGAUUGGCUUGUAAAACGCUCUAAAGCAAAGACCUGAAGCUGAAAUGGUGCCCUAAGAAUCUGUCUGAUUGAUGUUUCUUCUGUUGUUGGUUAAUGUUUAUGUGUUGUAAAAUAUACUGUAAGGUAAUUGCUAAUGCUACAUGAUUAAUGGGUUUGAAGCAAUGAUUGUGUUCAAUCAUUUGUUUCUGAGGCCAGGGAACUGAAAUCCAUAAAAGAUAGAAAAGUUUGUUGCCUCGUGAUCUCAUGCAAGAACUCCAGCCGAUAAAGUUGUUGAUAGGCUUAUAAAACAUUCUAAAGCAAAGACCUGAAGCUCAAGUUCUGCCCUAUGAAUCUGUUUGUAUGUUAUAUUCUGAACUGGUACCAAGGUGAUUGAUGCGUCUUCUGUUGUUGGUGUGAUACUAAUUUUCUUGACUGGCUUACAACAGAUCAGAUAGCUUGUAAUUUGGAUCAUGUGAUUUGAUAUGCAGGUUCACGUUUAUGUGUUGUAAAUGUUACUGUAAGAAUAUUGCUAAUGUUGCAUAACAUGAGUAAUAGUUUUUUUUUUUGUCAAACAUGAGUAAUGGUUUGAAUAAUUGAAUCAAUGAUUGUGUUCAAUCAUUUGUUUUUGGGA